CGAUUAGACCCCUAGCCUGGGAACCUCCAUAUGCUGCAGGUGCGGCCCUAAAAGGAAAGAAAAAAAAAAGUCACUGGGAAAUCCUAAUCACAACCACAAUAAGAUGCAACUUCACACCGACCAGGAUGUUUACAAUCAAAAACAAACAAAUCAACACAAACCACCAUGGAAAACAAGUGUUAUCUGCAUGUGGAGAAAUUAGAAACCUCUUACAUUUCUGUUGGAAGUAUAAAAUAUUACAGCCACUGUGGAAAACAGUGUGGUGGCUCCCUGGUCAUUGAAAAAGAGAAUUGCUAUGUGAUCCAGCAAUUCCAUUGCCUGGUAUAGACCCCAAAGAAUUGACAACAGGUACUCAAACAAACGUGUGUACGUGAAGGGUCAUAACAGCACUAUUCACAGCAAUCAAAGAGUAGAAACAACCUAAGUGCCAAUCGAUGGAAGAACAGAUACACCAAAUGUGAUCUAAUCCAAACAAUGGACUAUUAGGCAGCCAUAAAAAAGAAUGGAGUACCAAUACGUGUGACAACAUGUAAAAGACCUCAGGAGCACUGUGCUGACCCAGAAAUAAUCCACAUCAUUAGCAUUUACAUUCCACUGACGAAAGUCACUUGGCUUCACUGAGCUAUUAGAAUAGCGUCACAGUCCUUGGCUGAAGUUCAUGGGUGCAUCUAAGAUCGGGCACCUAAAAACAGCAGGUGAACGGAAUGUGGAGCACAAGGAGAGUGAUUCCGCUUACCUUUUGCUUCCCUGGCCUCUCAGAUUUUCCUGCGCUCUCUUUUCCCCAUGAAGAACCCAGCUUACCCUGCCAGCAAUCCCACCCCAUGGUCAGAUCCAGCGUUAUCCCAGUUUACUUGCCCAAGCUCGACCUGCACAUUAAUGUGCUUUUGUUUUCGUUACCUCCACUAGACUGGGAAACUGGACAUGCACACGGGAAAUCCACAAAUUAUUCUAAGUGACUGAAGCCAGACAGAAAACAUCACAUGUUGUGUGACUCCGCUGUACGAGACAUCCAAACUAGGUAAGUGGUGCCUGCCGGGGCUUGAGGGGAGGGGGCUGGGUUGUGUCAGCCUAAUGGGUUUGUUUGCUGGUUUGUUUGGUUUGUUUUGGGGGUGAUGAAAAUACUUUGGAACUAGGUUCAGGUGGUGGUGGUACAACAUUUUGAAGGACACAGUGACGCGGAAUGGAAUGGCGAUGCUUUCUGACACGAACGUGAAGAUUCCUGCACGUGUCUGCUUCUAAGAGGCUUGCAAGCCCCAACAGCCACUUGUUUUUAACAUCCUGCUUUAUAAGACAAAUUACAGUCCAAAGGGCGGAUAUCACAUUUUGAUUCAAAAAGAAAAACCUCCCAGGAUGUCUACAGGCCAGCAUGCGUUCAGUUGAGUUUUCUCUGUCGUCAACAACUACAGACCUAGAAAAGUACUAACUGAUGGUUUCAUCCAAAGCACUUCAGCAUCAACAAAGAACAGGGCGUUGUUUUGAGCACUGUUUUCUUUAAAGAUUGGCAAUUCCUGAAACUGAGGUAAAAAUAACAAUGCUAACCAUUCGGCGCACACCGACGUGGGCCAGGCAUCAUGACUCAUCUUCGCAACAGCCUCCCGAGCCAUGCUCUUCAACCUCGCUUUAUUUUCGUUUAUUUUUUGCUUUCUAGGGCCACACCAGCGGAACAUGGAGGUUCCCAGGCUAAGGGUCGAAUCAGAGCUACAGCUGCCGGCCGACACCACUGGCACAGGAACUCAGGAUCCACAGCUCACGGCAAUGCUGGAUCCUUAACCCACUGAGCGAGGCCAGGGAUCGAACCCGCAUCCUCAUGGAGACUAGUCGGGCGGUUUCUGCUGAGCCACGAGGGAACUCCUCGACUUCAUUUUAAAGAUGAGGACGUGAAGAACCCAGGUAACUUGUACAAGGUUACACAUCUCAAACAUAAGCAGUUGGCUGGGAUAGUCACUUCCCAGACACUUGAGAGCUGUAGGCGUUCAGCUCACUUUGUUGCUCUAUGUUCUAAGAAAUCUGUUCUCAGUGCCUCCAGCCCCGGAGCCAGCCUCCUCCUCUGAGCUAGACUGCGUCUGGAGUACCGGGUUCGGUUCUGGGUGCCACACCGCCCAGAAAAGGGUGACAACCAACAGUCAGGACUUGGUCGGAGAUGGCAUGGGCCUCCUGCAUGCUGUGGGCACCGUUCCAACGCCACGUUGCAGGCAUCAGGUGGCCUUGAGGCCAGACGUUAAAAUGAACUUUCGGACUCAAAUCCCUAGGAGUCACUGGUGAUUUUGAAGAAGAAAAGGGCAGAACAAUUUCUACCAAGUUCGAGUGUGCAGUUGUGUCACCGGGAGAUGGUUCGAUGACCCGUCGAGCGUCCCCACCAGUCUGUCUGAGGGGUGGAGGACUUUCAUGCGUAAAAGGUGAACGUUUCACCAUCCGCCUCAGGACAAAGCUACAGACUUGAUUUUUAGCUUUCGAGUGGCAGAGGGUGUUUAUUUUCAAUCAUGCAAGGAGGGGAAUCCAUAGCUCAAAAGUAUCACCCAUCUUAUGAAUCUAUCGUGACUUUUUUCAUAGAAGACAGAGUGUACAUUUAGAAAUAUUUAAUCAUUGUUUACAAAGAUUCAAC